CGGGGUGUAGCGCAGCCUGGUAGCGCGCCUGCUUUGGGAGCAGGAUGUCGGGAGUUCAAAUCUCUCCACCCCGA
rnacentral:tRNA from 1 species